CCAGCUCCAAUAGCGUAUAUUAAAGUUGUUGCAGUUAAAAAGCUCGUAGUUGGAUUUCGGCGUGCGCUCAGGCUGGUCGGCCGUCAAGGUCUGUACCGUUUGGGUCACGCCCCACUGUAGGAUACUCACCGCUGUCCUUAACUGGGUGGCGGUCAAAGGGGGUGUGCAUGGGGGCAACUCUGUGCAUAUCUCUGGGGUUCCUACUCUUUUACUUUGAGCAAAUUAGAGUGUUCAAAGCAGGCAAUCGAGCCUUGAAUACUUCAGCAUGGGAUAAUGGAACAGGACUGGGGUCCUGAUUUCGUUGGUUUCUGGGAUCUCAGUAAUGAUUAAUAGGGAUAGUUGGGGGCAUUAGUAUUUAAUUGUCAGAGGUGAAAUUCUUGGAUUUAUGAAAGACUAACUUCUGCGAAAGCAUUUGCCAAGGAUGUUUUCAUUAAUCAAGAACGAAAGUUAGGGGAUCGAAGACGAUCAGAUACCGUCGUAGUCUUAACCAUAAACGAUGCCGACCAGCGAUUGGGAGACGUUACAUGGAUGACUCCCCCAGCAGCUUGCGAGAAAUCACAAGUCUUUGGGUUCCGGGGGGAGUAUGGUCGCAAGGCUGAAACUUAAAGGAAUUGACGGAAGGGCACCACCAGGAGUGGAGCCUGCGGCUUAAUUCGACUC
rnacentral:rRNA from 1 species